AAUAAUAAUAUUAAAAAUAUUAAAGAAGAAAGCUUCGAAAACUUUCCCAGUUUAACUUAUUUAAGUCUCGAUAAUAACCAUAUCGAUGAUAUUGAACGAGGAACCUUCGAUAACGUUCCCAGUUUAGAAACCUUAUAUUUACAUGAAAAUGAUAUUGGCAAUGUUAAACAAGGAAUCUUCAACAAUCUUCCCCGUUUAAAAUCUUUGUAU
rnacentral:lncRNA from 1 species